UAAAACUUCAAGAAGAGCUUGAACCUGAAGCACCAGCAAAGCACUAAUCAUAAUGGUAGAAAACAUCUGAGGAAGACCACAAUCUAGAUUUCAAAUCCAAGAACAUGUAAUAUGAAAUUACAUAAAAACAACAAUCUUGAAAAUCAUAUGGUUCAGCAAAUUUUAUUAACAGAAGGAGGAAUUUUUGGUCUAUGAAUAGCGCAACAAAGUAAACAAUGUGCAUCUUGAUGGAAGCAACAUGAAUUUAUCCCCAGUCUCUAAGUAUUAUCCUAGUUGAAUCAGCAAGACUAUUAGGGCAUAUGAACUUCAAGUCCGAUAGAAUUUACUUGUUUGUAUCCAAACAAAUGUCCCAGAAUUGCAUUGCAGUAAUUUUAUUUUUGAAAAUAUUACCAAAAUAAUGGGAGAGUAGAUGGGGAUGAGGGUUUUAGAGAGAGAAAUAUGUUCAAUUUUGAAAUAAGAAACAAUACAAGGUAACUUUAAGUAAAUCAUUCCAUGAUUAAAAAAAAAAAACUCUUUUCAAACAUCGAGGCAUUUGUAUUUGAAGAAAAAUAAAUUACUUUGUUCUUUUGAAACCCUGAAAGAUCUUAUAAUAUUCUCUAUUUGAUCAGGUAAACUAGGAAGAUUACGGCUAGCCCAAUCCUCCAUUUUUCAUCUCAGCCAAUACCUAACAACUUUUUUUAAAAUAUCAGAUAUAAACUGCACUUUUAGGUGUUAGAACAUAAAAACAUCAGCCAUCUAAUACAUUACACAAACUGGGAAUUGUCAUUAAUUUGCAGGUCAAGGUAAUAAUAAGAGUACUAUUAGUUAAAGAACUGUUCCACAACAAAAUAUCAAACAGAGAAAAGAAACAAAAUACAAAACAUACUCACUAUGUUCCCAUACUCACACGAGGUUCAAUAG
rnacentral:misc_RNA from 1 species